rnacentral:rRNA from 1 species
CGCGUAGGCGGGCCUUCAAGUCGGGUGUGAAAACUGGCAGCUUAACUGCCAGCCUGCAUUCGAAACUGUUGGUCUUGAGUACAGGAGAGGAAAGCGGAACUCCAGGUGUAACGGUGGAAUGCGUAGAUAUCUGGAAGAACACCAGUAGCGAAGGCGGCUUUCUGGCCUGAUACUGACGCUCAAGCGCGAAGGCUAGGGGAGCAAACA